rnacentral:tRNA from 1 species
GGGAGUAGAUGUCUGUCUGGUGAGGGCCCCGGACUUCAAAUCCGGUGGCGGGCGCAGCCCGUCCGUGGUGGGUUCGAUUCCCACCUACUCCCGCCA